GCCAUUGCUGGACUAGCUGGACCACAGCCUGUAAGCCAUUCUAAUAAAUCCCCAUUCCAUAAGGUAUAUUUCUCUAGGAAACCCCAACAAAUACAAUUGAUUUUCACCAGUGGUCCAAACACACCUCCUCUCCUCCGACUAUUGAACUCUACGGCCCUGGGGUACAGGAAUCCCUUUCCAUCUGGACCCAAGAAGGCUUUGCGGGCUCUUCCGGCGACUCUUCAACUAAAGAAAAAGGCCAGUACUGACAACUCAAUAGAAUUAAUAUUUACUGAGUCCUUCUGUGAUCCUAGAGGAAUGCACAAAGGAUUUCUCCUAGCCAUGGCUAGCUAGGCAAGGGGUGAAUGUGAUCAGUCCAUGUGCUUAGCAUGAACAGAGAUGUUGGACCAAUCAGGGAGUUUGAGGCGGAAACAGGGACAGAACUGUGAACACUCAUGCUGAAAGAGCUGGAAGAGGCUCCUUGUUCUGCCAUGUGGGACCACGUGCAAGAGGAGUGGGCAGGGAGAAGAGAAGAGGAAGCCUUUGAGAGGCCCCAGGGACGCGGAAGAUCAACACAGAUCCUGCAUUUCCUGUCCUGGUCUCGGAGAGCUUUACCACUCCUCACUGGAAACUGGUGGGCUGCUGUUUGACACCAGUUCUCUACCAGCCAUGCCCUGAAGCCCCACAAGCACCGGAUGAGGGAAGAUGUCACUGUCACGAUUGUCCCGGCCAUGCCCAUCUCUCACUACACAGUGCUUCAUUUGCUACCAGCUCUUACUGAAGACUUACAGCCCAGUCUGGUUCUGCAACAUGGCACAUCCAACGGCCUACUUGACACUUGUCCCCGGGUGUCCUUCUGCUUCCUCACACUUGGUUAUUAACGAGCGUACUCACUUGCUCCCGUCCACGUCCGAAGCCACCUGUAUUUCCUGACAUGGUGUGAUACCCCCUAACCGAGUCAGAAGCUUGGGUGAUCCUGACAUCUUCACCUCACACGCUUCCUCAAGUGGUCUGUGAGCUGCAUCCAUUCCCUCUCCUCCUCAGCCCCUCCCCAGCCCUUCUCCUCCACCACAGACUUGGUUUAGAUCUGCCCGCCACUGGCCUGGCUCAUGCACGUGACACCAGAUCCCUUGCUGAUCCACCUCCGCCUCCUUCCAGCCUGCCUACUCCGGACAGCAAGAGCUGCUUCCCACAACACACAUCUGCGUUACCCCUUAGUGACUGGCCAUCUCUAACUACCACAUGAAGCCCCACGUUCCCAUCCUAGCCUCUCAGUCCUCCAGCAUUGCCAUCCCUAUUUCUUCUUCCUCUGCCCCGAGACAGGGCUUCUCUAUGUAGCCCUGGCUGUCCUGGGUCUCACUCUGUAGA